rnacentral:rRNA from 1 species
CCUACGGGGGACAGCAGUGAGGAAUAUUGGUCAAUGGGCGCGAGCCUGAACCAGCCAAGUAGCGUGAAGGAUGACUGCCCUACGGGUUGUAAACUUCUUUUAUAAAGGAAUAAAGUGAGGCACGUGUGCCUUUUUGUAUGUACUUUAUGAAUAAGGAUCGGCGAACUCCGUGCAAGAAGCCGAGGUAAUACGGAGGAGCCGAGCGUUAUCCGGAUUUAUUGGGUUUAAAGGGAGCGUAGAUGGGUUGUUAAGUCAGUUGUGAAAGUUUGCGGCUCAACCGUAAAAUUGCAAUUGAUACUGGCAGUCUUGAGUACAGUUGAGGUAGGCGGACUUCGUGGUGUAGCGGUGACAUGCUUAGAUAUCACGAAGAACUCCGAUUGCGCAGGCAGCUUACUAAACUGCCACUGACAUUGAUGCUCGAACGUGUUGGUAUCAAACAGGAUUAGAUCCCCGAGUAGUC